GUUUUUAGCAUAACUCAUUUCAUUUGAGUCUAUCUAUUUUCAGAAGGGCCAUUGUGCCAAGGACAAGUCGAUCAAGUGACUUCUCCUAAGCGCUCUGGCAGUCCACCCCGAGGACACACUGCCAGCUGCUAACAGCACAACUGAGUUCAGUGGACCCAAAGCCGAAACUUACAGGGCUGACAAGGCUGGGCUUCCUCGCAGUGGGCUAGACCAGUUCUUCAAGAUGGGAUUCUAUGUGCUCAGCAAACUUCACAUCUCAUUUCACUGGCCCAUCAACCUCUUGAGCUGGGAUUAAUAGCCCAUUUUAUAGACGAGGAAACAGAGACAACGCAGAGAGCUUCAGUAAUCAAUGCAAGAUCACCCUUCUGGAAAGUAGCCCAAUCAGGAUUUAAACUCAAGUCUUUCUUACUCCAAAUGCCUUUUUUUUUCUAAUAGCCUGGCUAGCUACCCUCUGCACCCCGCCACGCUGUUGGAGAGCAACCAAGCAGCGGCCAUAAGCGGGAGGCAAACCAGCCCCUCACCAUGAAACUAUGAUUUCUGUCUCCAUUUUUGAACAUGUUGCUGAGCCUUCAGACAUUUUGGUAUUUUUAACCCAAAAGUGAAUCUCUCAAGACCAUUUUGUAAGGGAUAAAAGAAAAGUAUCUCUCCCUUAGACUCAAGAUCUAUGAAGACCUGGGUUUUGAGAAUUCGGUGACCUGUGCCUAACACACACUCUCACAAAUUGGUGACUCUUUUCUUCCUGAAGCCAAGGAGAAAGAGGAAUUCCAGAAAGAAAGGAGGGGGAAGCUCGUGAGAUUCUCCGGCACAGAAAAAUGGCUUCCAUAUUCUCCACUCUCUGAAAAAUGAGAUAAAUGGGUAAAGAGAGUGCCAGAGAGCUUAUGAGGAAAUUAAGAAUGCCUGCUGCUCCCCUGUGUGUUCCGAUAAUUAAAGAUUGAUUUAUGG
rnacentral:lncRNA from 1 species